GCAAUCUAACAUUCCAUGUACAAGCACUUGACACGGACACUUGUCGUUAAAAACCAUAAAACAAACGAAAAAUAUAUCUAAACAAACGAUUUCGAUCCAUUUUCCGAUACUUGUGGAUUUUAUAGAUUUCUUUCUGACCAGUUAAAGCAACCCAGCCCAAUGCAUAUGUACCUCCAGUGCUGUUUCUGGCCGACCUUCGUCGCUGUUCGGUGACGCGUAUGGUCUCCUGCUCCUCGCUGUCCAGGCUGGAUAGGCUAACGCUCUUGUUGGUGCAGUCACCGCCACCCCCGUUGGCAUCGUCCACUGCCGUCCACGACUUCCUGCGGUCCGUGUGCAGCAGCAGGCAUUGCUGCGGUGCCGUGGACGACCACAUUGCAUAGUUGGCGCCAGCGGCAACUGGUCCUGCACCCGUGCCCGUAAGAUCCGGCAGCGAGGCACUCAGUAUGGCCGCACUGAGCAGACCAUGAUUGCCCAAACUGCCGUCCUGCAUGUGCUGGCUGGUUGAGGAGGAGUUCUUCAUCUGGACGACCGUUUCCCGGAUAUUCUGCAGCUGGCUGAGCGUGUCCUCGAAUAUGUUGUUAUAUUUGGAGGCCAUGGCCGGACUGUGAGGCGUCACAUUGAUGAUGGGUAUCAUGUUGUUGUUGAUAAUGCUGGCGGGAGUGGAAUUGGAGUUGGGAGCAGGUGCAGCUGCAGCGGGCGCAGGUGCAGGAGCAGGUGCGUUUAUAACGGGUAUGCAGUAGUUUUGGCUUUCGAUGGAGGCGCCCCGGUUGUGGGCAGAAGAACCACCACCACCAUUGACCAGUGCUUCAGAGGAUUCGCUGCAGUUGGAGUUCAGGAAAUCGGUGACCACAUCAUUGUCGCUGUCCUCGCCCGCGUUGUCCAUAUUAGGGGCUCCUGUACUCGUUACAAAUUCCUUUGUGUGUUGAGCUGAGCUUAGCUGGCUGUUGUUCUAUUUUGCAGUUGGCUGCCUAGAAAAAGAAAGUUUUAGUAUACAACGCACACACUCACAGCAGCAACGGGCAUCUGUGUACACACGUACCUGCCUACAUCAAUACAUACACAAUGGGAACUAG